rnacentral:sRNA from 1 species
GUUGGGUGCAGUGGCGCACGCCUGUAAUCCCAGUGGCUUGGGAGGCUGAGGCAGGAGGAUCGUGAGUUCAAAGCCAGCCUCAGCAAAAGCAAGGCACUAAGCAAUUCAGUGAGACCCUGUCUCUA